AUUGAACGCUGGCGGCAUGCCUUACACAUGCAAGUCGAACGGUAACGGGCCUUCGGGUGCCGACGAGUGGCGAACGGGUGAGUAAUACAUCGGAACGAGCCCGAUCGUGGGGGAUAACGAGGCGAAAGCUUUGCUAAUACCGCAUACGAUCUACGGAUGAAAGCAGGGGACCGCAAGGCCUUGCGCGGACGGAGCGGCCGAUGGCAGAUUAGGUAGUUGGUGGGAUAAAAGCUUACCAAGCCGACGAUCUGUAGCUGGUGUGAGAGGAUGAUCAGCCACACUGGGACUGAGACACGGCCCAGACUCCUACGGGAGGCAGCAGUGGGGAAUUUUGGACAAUGGGCGCAAGCCUGAUCCAGCCAUGCCGCGUGCAGGAUGAAGGCCUUCGGGUUGUAAACUGCUUUUGUACGGAACGAAAAGCCUUCUUCUAAUACAGGAGGGUCAUGACGGUACCGUAAGAAUAAGCACCGGCUAACUACGUGCCAGCAGCCGCAGUAA
rnacentral:rRNA from 1 species